rnacentral:piRNA from 1 species
AAAUAAGGCAACGCUUAACUGAGAUGAA